GCCGCGGUGGUGAAAUGGUAUACACGCACGGUUCAGAGCCGUGUGGGGGCAACCCCAUGGGAGUUCAAGUCUCCCCCGCGGCACCA
rnacentral:tRNA from 1 species